CACAAAUACACACACUGACCACAGAGAGCACUAAAGCCACUAUGAUGGAGGAGCAGAGAAAUAAUGCAUCCCUUUGGAUAAACACGUGCAUGGUUGCUGAGAAAAUAAACACAACAGUCUGCGGAGGGAUACUUCAGGAGAGAGGAGAGAGCACUCAGAUGGAUACUUCAGGAGAGAGAGAUCAGAGGGAUACUUCAGGAGAGAGGAGAGAGAGAUCAGAGGGAUACUUCAGGAGAGAGGAGAGAGCACUCAGAUGGAUACUUCAGGAGAGAGGAGAGAGCACUCAGAUGGAUACUUCAGGAGAGAGGAGAGAGCACUCAGAUGGAUACUUCAGGAGGGAGGAGAGAGCACUCAGAUGGAUACUUCAGGAGAGAGGAGAGAGCACUCAGAUGGAUACUUCAGGAGGGAGGAGAGAGCACUCAGAUGGAUACUUCAGGAGGGAGGAGAGAGAGAUCAGAGGGAUACUUCAGGAGAGAGGAGAGAGAGAUCAGAGGGAUACUUCAGGAGGGAGGAGAGAGAGAUCAGUGGGAUAAUUCAGGAGAGAGGAGGAAGAGAUCAGUGGGUUACUUCAUGAGAGAGAGAGAUCAGAGGGAUACUUCAGGAGAGAGGAGAGAGAUAUCAGAGGGAUACUUCAGGAGGGAGGAGAGAGAGAUCAGAGGGAUACUUCAGGAGAGAGGAGAGAGAGAUCAGAGGGAUACUUCAGGAGGGAGGAGAGAGAGAUCAGUGGGAUAAUUCAGGAGAGAGGAGAGAGCACUCAGAUGGAUACUUCAGGAGGGAGGAGAGAGAGAUCAGAGGGAUACUUCAGGAGGGAGGAGAGAGAGAUCAGAGGGAUACUUCAGGAGAGAGGAGAGAGAGAUCAGAGGGAUACUUCAGGAGGGAGGAGAGAGAGAUCAGUGGGAUAAUUCAGGAGAGAGGAGGAAGAGAUCAGUGGGUUACUUCAUGAGAGAGAGAGAUCAGAGGGAUACUUCAGGAGAGAGGAGAGAGAGAUCAGAGGGAUACUUCAGGAGAGAGGAGAGAGCACUCAGAUGGAUACUUCAGGAGAGAGGAGAGAGAGAUCAGAGGGAUACUUCAGGAGAGAGGAGAGAGAGAUCAGAGGGAUACUUCAGGAGAGAGGAGAGAGAGAUCAGAGGGAUACUUCAGGAGGGAGGAGAGAGAGAUCAGAGGGAUAAUUCAGGAGAGAGGAGAGAGAGAUCAGAGGGAUAAUUCAGGAGAGAGGAGAGAGAGAUCAGAGGGAUACUUCAGGAGAGAGGAGAGAGAGAUCAGUGGGUUACUUCAUGAGAGAGAGAGAUCAGAGGGAUACUUCAGGAGAGAGGAGAGAGAGAUCAGAGGGAUACUUCAGGAGGGAUGAGAGAGAGAUCAGAGGGAUACUUCAGGAGAGAGGAGAGAGCACUCAGAUGGAUACUUCAGGAGGGAGGAGAGAGAGAUCAGAGGGAUACUUCGGGAGAGAGGAGAGAGAGAUCAGAGGGGUACUUCAGGAGGGAUGAGAGAGAGAUCAGAGGGAUACUUCAGGAGAGAGGAGAGAGCACUCAGAUGGAUACUUCAGGAGGGAGGAGAGAGAGAUCAGAGGGAUACUUCGGGAGAGAGGAGAGAGAGAUCAGAGGGGUACUUCAGGAGGGAUGAGAGAGAGAUCAGAGGGAUACUUCAGGAGAGAGGAGAGAGAGAUCAGAUGGAUACUUCAGGAGGUAGGAGGGAGAGAUCAGAGGGAUACUUCAGGAGAGAGGAGAGAGCACUCCGAUGGAUACUUCAGGAGGGAGGAGAGAGAGAUCAGAGGGAUACUUCAGGAGAGAGGAGAGAGAGAUCAGAGGGAUACUUCAGGAGAGAGAGAUCAGUAGGAUACUUCAGGAGAGAGAGAUCAGUAGGAUACUUCAGGAGAGAGAGAUCAGUGGGAUACUUCAGGAGAGAGGAGAGAGAGAGAUCGUUGGG
ensembl:lncRNA